UACAACAUAGGAAAUCUGCCUUAGGGUGGGGGACAACAGAGGGAAACUUCUGCUAAUACCCCAUAUGAGCUUGGUUGAAAUACCAAUCUUGAAAGUUCCGGCGCCCUAAGAUGAGCCUGUGCCUGAUUAGCUAGUUGGUGGUGUAAUGGACUACCAAGGCGACGAUCAGUAGCUGGUUUGAGAGGAUGAUCAGCCACAAUGGGACUGAGACACGGCCCAUACUCCUACGGGAGGCAGCAG
rnacentral:rRNA from 1 species